AAACCCUGCUGAAAGGCCAACCCUCAAUUACCAAAAGUAUAGAAUAAGUGAGAUAACAUGGCACAAAAUUGGCCAUAGAUAAAUGCUUACCAAUGUUAUCUUGUACAAUUAUUUUUCUUUAGAUUUAGAACAUCUUUUGGCUUGCCGGUGAACCUACAAUUUUUUUGUAAAAUGGGUAAACAUAAAACAUUUGGAAAUUAUUCAUACCUGAUAGGAAUCAAAUAUCUAGAGGGGAUAACUGAGAUUCUUUUUACAAAAGAGUUGAACUGUAAUAUUCCAUUUCACAGGUGGCCAGAAGCACACAUAUUCCUUAAACUAAUAGACAACUAUUCACAACCCGAAAAACAUUCUAAGUUACAGAUUUUGUUCUGAUUGUUGUGCCUCGCAACACUGAAAAAGUAUUCAACACUAUUAUAUCAUUUACUGAGGGGAGACUAAACUUCCAAGAAACCAGAUAAUGCACCCAAAUUUGAUUUGGCCGCGUCUGCACUGGUUCCUCUUCGAAUGCUCGGUCUCGUCUCUGACCAUGGUAGGGCAGCCCACAACGCGGUACGUUUGGCGGCUUAUGACACAAUGAGCGUCAGAUAGGAUUUGCCUCGCCACAAAACUAAACUAAUUAAGAUAAACUGAUAUAUAACUUGUUCAAAAUAUUUCCAACAAUUAUGCAGGUUCACGUAGGUAUAUGUGUGUAAAGUCAUGAAUAGUGUCUCAGAAAAAGAACAACACAAUUCCCCAUGGGAUUCUACACAUACGUACCUUGCACAAUAUCAAAUUUUGCUUGCAGAGAUUAAAAACUGACAUAUGAACUCACAAGAGUUUUGGAUAACACAUCAUCAAUGAGAUGGAAGGCACAUGUUGAAGCGAUGAAAAAUCUAUAUAAAAGUAACACUGCGCUCAUUAUCAGGCGUAUAUCUUGUGUCAAUUAGCAGUUUCAAGCAAAAAUAUUCUGCUAGUGGAUGAGACAAAGACAAUACUGCGUGCCCUUUCUUGCUCCAUUGAUCUCAGACAACUACACAAGUGUACAUAUAUUCUUUGUUGUAAAAGGUAUUAUUCAGAUUAAAUUCAGUACACAGAAAUAUAGAACAAAGAGGAAAAGCUUGUCUUUCUUCCUUGAGAAUAUAACUUGAGGAUUUCUCCAUAUAAGAAGACAUGAAGCAACACUUGAUCAUGCUAUUCUAUUUUCCUUGCACCAAAUCCACAAGUACAAAAUCUGAAACAUAUCUCAAUGAAAGAAACAGUCUGGACAUUGAAUAAAAAGUCUAGUAACUACCCGAGGGGGUGGAGUUCAGUGAAUUUCACGAAUGCUAAACCUACACUUCAUGAGGUACUUUGCAGAUCCGCAACAUAUUCAUUUCUAAACAUGUUUAGGAAAAACCAUAAAUUCAACAACUCAUUUGCACGGAUCUGAUAUACAUCUACACUCCAAAAAUUUGACCAACUUCUUGGGUGAAAACAGAGAACUUAUGGAGGUAUGAUCAUGGAUCAGAACAAACACAGUGGCUCAAGGCAGUUGGCACUGACACCGCCAAGAACAAGUAGCUCGCCACCGGAAGAAAUCAUCCGCGCCAGCAAAAGACCUGGGCGCAGUCAUGGCGGUCCUGCCGGAAGAAAGAGCAUCACGUUGGAGAUUGAGAAUCAGAGUCAGCACUAAAGGGAACGACCCCAACAACCAUAAAAUAAUAUAAAACAAACCUGGACAUUGUAGCAAUCGCCUCAAUCUUCUUCGUCUACGAGGGCCUGUGCCAGAUCUAGAAGGACAAGUGUGGCGACUACACAAGGGGAGGGAGUGGCGAGGGGGGCGGGGGCGCUCCCCAACUCAAGUCUGGAGGUCACCGGGGAAGAGAGAGGAGGGGCCGGCGGCGUGGAAACUGGGAGGGGGUUCUCAAAGGCUCUGUUUCUUUCGCGAGAGAAGCAGAAAGAAGAACGACCGCCAGGCUGUUCAAUGUGUAGAAGUGGCUCGGGGACAACCAGUAUCAAUCUGAGCCUUACAUUCCAGAUCGAACGGUGUAGAUAGCAUGAUGGCAGACACA
rnacentral:lncRNA from 1 species